rnacentral:rRNA from 1 species
CCUACGGGAGGCAGCAGUGAGGAAUAUUGGUCAAUGGGCGAGAGCCUGAACCAGCCAAGUAGCGUGAAGGAUGACUGCCCUACGGGUUGUAAACUUCUUUUAUAAAGGAAUAAAGUGAGGCACGUGUGCCUUUUUGUAUGUACUUGAUGAAUAAGGAUCGGCUAACUCCGUGCCAGCAGCCGCGGUAAUACGGAGGAUCCGAGCGUUAUCCGGAUUUAUUGGGUUUAAAGGGAGCGUAGAUGGGUUGUUAAGUCAGUUGUGAAAGUUUGGGGCUCAACCGUAAAAUUGCAAUUGAUACUGGCAGCCUUGAGUGCAGUUGAGGUAGGCGGAAUUCGUGGUGUAGCGGUGAAAUGCUUAGAUAUCACGAAGAACUCCGAUUGCGAAGGCAGCUUACUAAACUGCCACUGACGUUGAUGCUCGAAAGUGUGGGUAUCAAACAGGAUUAGAUACCCGAGUAGUC